rnacentral:rRNA from 1 species
UACGUAGGGUGCGAGCGUUAAUCGGAAUUACUGGGCGUAAAGCGUGCGCAGGCGGUGAGCUGUGUCCGAUGUGAAAGCCCCGGGCUUAACCUGAGAAUGGCAUUGGAAACUGGCUCGCUGGAAUCUGGCAGAGGGGGGUGGAAUGCCGCGUGUAGCAGUGAAAUGCGUAGAGAUGCGGCGGAACACCGAUGGCGAAGGCAGCCCCCUGGGCUGAGAUUGACGCUCAGGCACGAAAGCGUGGGGAGCAAACAGG